CUUCGAUGUGCUCUGUUGCUAUGGAAACCAGGCGGAGGUCCUUGCCGGCCUGACAGAACCCUGAGGAGGACAGAUGUGUGGAGAUAGAGGAUCAGGAAACAGACCCAGCAUUAUGCCACAGACAGACUUCUUCCUACCGUCGAUGUUACCAGGAAACGGCUCCGGCUCCAGGUAGAGCUGUGUGAAGAUGGGCUGCGGAUCUCCACUGCUGGAGCGCAGCGACGCCUCGAUGGAGUUGUGGAGAGCCUCCUCAAAUCGGGCAGAUUUCAGUUGCCCGGCAUAUGAAUUCCCCAUUAUCUGUGAGGGCAAUUCAAAAGUCGUCGCAUUGAACUCUGGGUUAUUUGGGUUGGGAAUUUUUCCAUCUCUCCCAAACUAUUUAUCGAUUAAUCAGCGUUCUGGUCCACCAGAAGAUCCAGAUGAUAAUGGGAGAAGCUGCGGUGGUCUUUCUCCUUCUGUCUGUCGUGUCACUCUGCCUGCUCGCCGGCCCCCCACCACCCCAAUGUGUCCACUCUGGGACAUCUGCCGGGGGUCGGCUGUGCGGGCCUUAGGUUGGCCGGCUCUAUCCGGCGGCAGCUGGACGGAGGGCCAAGCAUGCAGAGUCAAAGAAAAGGAGCCGGGGGGGGCAGCGGGGGGGGGGGGGGGGGGGGGGGGGUUGAAAUGAAAGAGUAGCAGUGACCGAAGGCUACGCAGUGUCCAUUCAUAACACACUGGCGCUUCCCACUCAAACUCUUCCCGGUUUGUCAUAACAUUUCACACAAUCUGCUCUCCAUAAGGAGGCGGCGAUAACGACUGAAAGCAAAGGGAGUUCUGGCCGCUUUCCCGACUCGCCCGUGUUCGGCCUUGGACUGCGGUGGACUGGUGAGGAUCGGCGGUCUGGUUCUCUCAGCUUGAAGACUUCCGCUGUUUGGAUAAAGCCGUUGAGGGCACUUGAAGUUUGGCAAUAUAACUAACCCGUGAUUUUAAUUAUUGUUUCACACCUUUAACCCGUCAUUAACCUUGGAUUUGAGAUAAUUAUGCUGCUAUAAAAACAGCUUGCAAAAACAACAUAACGUAAAACAAUAAAAUGUCAGAAAGA